CAUAUCAAUAAGCGGAGGAAAAGAAACUAACAAGGAUUCCCCUAGUAACUGCGAGUGAAGCGGGAAAAGCUCAAAUUUAAAAUCUGGCGGUCUUUGGCUGUCCGAGUUGUAAUCUAGAGAAGUGCUAUCCGCGCUGGACCGUGUACAAGUCUCCUGGAAUGGAGCGUCAUAGAGGGUGAGAAUCCCGUCUUUGACACGGACUGCCAGGGCUUUGUGAUGUGCUCUCGAAGAGUCGAGUUGUUUGGGAAUGCAGCUCAAAAUGGGUGGUAAAUUCCAUCUAAAGCUAAAUAUUGGCGAGAGACCGAUAGCGAACAAGUACCGUGAGGGAAAGAUGAAAAGAACUUUGGAAAGAGAGUUAAACAGUACGUGAAAUUGCUGAAAGGGAAACGCUUGAAGUCAGUCGCGUUGAACAGGGAUCAACCUUGCUUUUGCUUGGUGCACUUCCUGAUUGACGGGUCAGCAUCAAUUUUGACUAUUGGAAAAAGAUCAGGGGAAUGUGACAUCUUCGGAUGUGUUAUAGCCCUUGGUUGCAUACAAUGGUUGGGAUUGAGGAACUCAGCACGCCGCAAGGCCGGGUUUUUAACCACGUACGUGCUUAGGAUGCUGGCAUAAUGGCUUUAAUCGACCCGUCUUGAAACACGGACCAAGGAGUCUAACAUGCCUGCGAGUGUUUGGGUGGAAAACCCGAGCGCGUAAUGAAAGUGAAAGUUGAGAUCCCCGUCGUAGGGAGCAUCGACGCCCGGACCAGACCUUUUGUGACGGUUCCGCGGUAGAGCAUGUAUGUUGGGACCCGAAAGAUGGUGAACUAUGCCUGAAUAGGGUGAAGCCAGGGGAAACCCUGGUGGAGGCUCGUAGCGAUUCUGACGUGCAAAUCGAUCGUCAAAUUUGGGUAUAGGGGCGAAAGACUAAUCGAACCAUCUAGUAGCUGGUUCCUGCC
rnacentral:rRNA from 1 species